AGACAGACACACAGUUAAACAAGAUGGACUGUAGGACAGUGCUGCUGCUUUUGACUAUUUGCUGUGCAGAGGUGUUUGAGCAGAAUCCAACUGUUAUCUCUUCUCACAGCGCCAAUAUCACCCAAUGUGUUGCGAAAGAGUUUGUACCAAAGAAACAUGACCUCAAAUGGCUGAAAAACGGAAAAGACAUUACCAGCGAAAUAGAUCUGCCAUUUAAAGUUUUGACUACAGUUUCUGAAUCAAGAAAGGAUGGAAAGAAGGUGUACAAUGCAGAAAGUCUUCUCAUAGUAAAUUCCAAUGAUGUGAAUGAAGACACUGAAUUCAACUGUGUGCUGA